CAUCCUUGGUUCAAAAGGUGACUACAAAAGGCUCCUUCCACUGUUUGUGCUGACUUAAAGUAGAUCAACUAAGGUCAUUGUUGAUCCUACAAAAUACACAGAUUUAGUCAAGAUAUUUUAACAAUAUCCAAAUAAGAGUAAGCAUCACAAGUCAUCACCUCUUCUUCAUCUGACCUGCAACAUCAACAUCUGGACCAAAGUGCACCCUACUGAAGGUAGUAGUAUGCUGACAUUGCUCUAGUUAAGUAACAACAAUCACAUAUUAGAGAAAUCCAUUAGUUAUAUGGUACAUACAUUUAAUUUGUACCCAGCCAAAUCCACGGCCAUUCAAUCUACUUUCAGACCUGUGCAUGUUCUAAUUGUGGUGAAUUUUGAAUCUAUCCUCUAGCAUUAAUCUCAAUGUACCAUGCCAACAUUUGACUCAGUUUCUUUAGUGAAAUAAUUUGUUUUGAUACAGAACGCCACACUUAUUUAUUGGCACUGCUUUAUGAAUUUAAA
rnacentral:lncRNA from 1 species